ensembl:lncRNA
CAGAGAGCAGCUGCAGACACACUGCUGACAACAGGCCAGAAUUACAGCAUCAGCAACAUCAGCUCCCAGCACAGCGGACUGUACUACUGCACUGCUCACAACCAGCUGGGACAGCACAACUCUACACCCACACUCCUGGAUGUGAAGGGUAACUCUACACAGACACACCUGGAUGUGAAGGGUAACUCUACACCAACACACCUGGAUGUGUUAGGUGACUCUACACAGACACACCUGGAUGUGUUAAGUGACUCUACACAAACACACCUGGGUGUUUUAGGGUCAGAGGGGAACACAGUGAUAAAAGUCAUCAUGGUGGUACUGGCUGUCUUCCUGGCAUUAACACUAAUCUCAGUAGCUUUGUGGAUGUGGAAGAGGAAGUCGAGCUCAGCUAAUGGCCACAGCAGCACUGGUGAGAGUGGACAGCGUCACUCUCCUGCUGUUUAUGAAAAUGUCCCAGCCUCAAACCUUAGUGGGAGAGUCACCUCAGAUGAUCAGGAUUCCGUUCACUAUGCCAGUGUUGUCUUUAAAAACUCCCACACACAGGAAGUGUCUCCGUCACCCAGACUUCCUCCAGACACCACAGAGGAAGAGGAUGUUCAGUAUGCUGCUGUGAACGUUAGCAGGAGCACUGCUGCCAUCCAGCUUGUGACAGAUGAAGCAGGUGAAGAUUCAUCUCAGAUCUACAGCAAAGUCCAGAAACUCCCCAAAAAACAGAAAGCUGAGAUGUGAUUGUUCUGUUCUGUAUCCAGACUGAACAGGAGAAGAGGGGCGGCUUUGGCAUUUUAUCAGAGUAGCAGUAUCGAUGCUUCAGUAGUGUAUUGUAGUGCUCAUAUUGUAUUGUACACUGUUUUACCUGAACAAUUGUGUAUUCAGGUCAGAAUUUUUAAAAGAAAUAUAGAUUAAGGAUGAAUGUUUUUAAACAUCUGUGUUUUUUCCAUUAUAAUCUGUAUUAAUGUUUUUGACUUAUUCUUCUAUUUUUAUAUUUAUUUUAAUGCUAUUCAAUUGAUACUGCUCUUUUUAUUCGUAGUAUUCUAUCUAUGCUUUCUUUAUAUAUUCUGUGGUUUUUUAGCAAUAACUAUAAAACUUUUUUUUAACGGUAUUACUUAUGGGCCGAUGUAGCAAUAGAUGCUUUCUGCAUCCUUCUGUAACCCGUAGUUCUCUGGUGGAGAGCCAUACCUGGUUCGUAGUUGAAUGUUUCUCCAAGCUGUCUGUCUGCUAAUUUCUUGGUGACUUGGGCUGCACGGUCUAGGUGUUGGUGAGCCUGUUCCCACAUCUACUCACUCUGCUGGAACCAGAAGUCCACAGCGGGUGAGUCCAUGUGGUUGGCGUUCCAUGAGAACAGAGGUGGCUGGUAACUCAAUUCUGGGAAUUCUGCCCAUUGAAGGAAUUGUGCCCAGUUAUUCUGGUUGUCAGCACAGAAAGCUCAUAGGAAGUGUCUAAUCUCCUGGUUAGCCUUGAUUUGGAACUCCACUCCACUUGGAGGUGGUAGCCUGAUGUCAGGCUUACAGAGAUGACCAGUUUUUCCAAGAAAUCCCUUCACACCCGGGUCGUGAAUCUGGGUCCUCCUGGAUGACUGAGCAAAAGUUCUGCCAUUCCAAAGGCUGAUGGCAGUCCGGGGAGAGAAAUCACGAGCAGGGACUUGGAAAACCACUCCACGAUCACCAUGAUGACAGUGUUGUUGUGUGAUGCGGGAAGAUCGGUUAUGAAGUCUAUCGUUAGGUUUGACCAUGGUCUUAGGGGUGUAGGUAGUGGGAGGAGCUUGCAGUGUGUGCGUGAUACUUUGGCUUUAAUGCAGACUGAGCAGAAUGAGAUGAAAUGGUGAAGGUCUUGGGGCAUUUGUGGCCACCAGUAUUUGCCUUGCAGUAGUUGGUGUGUUUUAUGUGUGGCAGGAGAGGUGUGAGCCCAUGUGAUUAAGCCUUCCUCUAGGGGAGAGGGCACAAAUUUCUUUCCCCCUUUUCUAGCAGGGUGGCUAGUAGAGACGCUGUACUCCUAAAGCCACGUAUGAAGUGUCAGAUUUAGUGAAGCCCAUAAAACGUAACUCUUUAACUGUGGUGGGUUCUGACCAAUAGGCCAUAGGGGCAAUGAGGAGGGAGGCCACUUGCCUUGAUCACUUGGGCUGUGGUUUCCGUGUUUUCAUUGGAUGUAGAGGCCACAUUGACUGAGGGAGUGAGGAGACGUCAUGAUUUCAUGCUCCUUCCAUGAGAUUUGGUGGUUGUGGGCCUGCAUCCAUGGGAAACCCAGCAUCACUGGGAACUUAGUUGUGAAGGUUAUGGUGAGAGUGACUUUGAGGGUGAAGGGUUCUGUGCAUUGGAUGACUGACCCACCUCCAAUGGGUCCUCCCGAGCACUGCAUAAUCUGUUGCUGAGAAUAACCCAAGUAGAAGUACAGCCUUUCAACGCCUUUUCCAUUCCACAUAGGCAAAUUUAUUCUGGACUAGUAGUAUGGGUUCUGUGGCCUGGAUCUUGGGGACUGGAAUGGCAGUCACCGUCAGUCUGUUCCUGAUUAGGGUGUCGAGACAAAUGGACAUAUUGUUCAAGGAUUCGAGGAUAACCUGAUCCAUUGUGAACAUGCCAGAUCGGUGAGUAUCUCCUCAAUGAGCCAUCAACAAUAGGUGACUUUGAG